rnacentral:rRNA from 1 species
AUUGAACGCUGGCGGCAGGCCUAACACAUGCAAGUCGAACGGUAACAGGAAGAAGCUUGCUUCUUUGCUGACGAGUGGCGGACGGGUGAGUAAUGUCUGGGAAACUGCCUGAUGGAGGGGGAUAACUACUGGAAACGGUAGCUACUACCGCAUAACGUCGCAAGACCAAAGAGGGUGACCUUCGGGCCUCUUGCCAUCGGAUGUGCCCAGAUGGGAAUAGCUAGUAGGUGGGGUAACGGCUCACCUAGGCGACGAUCCCUAGCUGGUCUGAGAGGAUGCCCAGCCACACUGGAACUGAGACACGGUCCAGACUCCUACGGGAGGCAGCAGUGGGGAAUAUUGCACAAUGGGCGCAAGCCUGAUGCAGCCAGGCCGCGUGUGUGAAGAAGGCCUUCGGGUUGUAAAGUACUUUCAGCGGGGAGGAAGGGAGUAAAGUUAAUACCUUGGCUCAUUGACGUUACCCGCAGAAGAAGCACCGGCUAACUCCGUG